rnacentral:miRNA from 1 species
GACGUCGAAUAUCGACGUCAUAAACACCAAAGUUGAUCGUGUUUAUGACGUCGUAUAUCGACGUCAUAAACACCAAAGUUUACCGUGUUUAUGACGUCGAAUAUCGACGUCAUAAACACCAAAGUUGAUCGUGUUUCUGACGUCAUAUAUCGACGUCAUAAACACCAAAACUGACCGUGUUUAUGACGUCGUAUAUCGACGUCAUAAACACCAAAGUUGAUCGCGUUUAUGACGUCGAAUAUCGACGUC